rnacentral:lncRNA from 1 species
CUCCUGGAGCUUGCUGGAAGAUUCCCUCCUUCCUUUGGUGCAUCAACCCAUAAGACUGACUCCAGAUGUGGAAUUGGAGCAGGAUCCCAGAGGGCCCCUGCUGUCACACAUGUCCUAGCCAAUUUCCAAAAUGAAUCAGCAAUUUAGCAUCUGCCUGACUCCAUGUGGAACUAAGAAGCCAGCAUUCCAGGAUCCCAAGAUGUGCUUCUUGAUAGACAAGCCCUCGAUGUUGAUCUGGAUGAUAUCAGCGGCCUCAGUUGGUUCCAAAUUUUAUCACUUGUCCUGGGUGUGCUAAUCUCUUUAACAAGGAAUCAUAGAGAAUUUAUUCUUUAAAUUACCCCUUUCUCUGCUUCCUCCAAAUAGCUUGAAUGGGAGCCAGGGGUAACCUCCUUUCUGGUCUAGGCCAGCAGUCUCCUAUACGGUGUGAGAGUCACAGACUCAAGAAUAUUGCCCCAUUUCCAGAAGCUUGAAUCCUCCCUCUACACCACUCUUGCAAAGCUCUGCAAAGCUUUAAAAAAAUCCAUCCCUGUUAAAGUUUAUAUUUUUGGAUUGAGUACAUCCUGAAUGUAUUAUCCAAAUUCUUCCCCUUAGAUUCUUGUCAUCCACAAAUUCAAACAACUUGUCAUCAGUACCCUCUGUGAAGUGAUUAAACAGCAUGUCCAAUGACACUAUCUGUCCUUGAGUGUGAUAUGAGCAGCUGUUAAAAACUCUCUGGCCAAAAACUUCACACAUGGCUGAAAAUUGCAUAUAUUAAUAAAUUAUACCUUUGGAUUAAGGUCUGAGAAGCGUUGUUGAAAUAAAAAUGUAAUAUCUUGCAGUGGUAAUUGAUGACAUUUUGCAGCAACAAGACCAAGACUUGAAGCCAAGCCCCAUUGCCAUGGGAAUUUGGAGACUUAAUCUGCCCC